rnacentral:rRNA from 1 species
GACGAACGCUGGCGGCGUGCUUAACACAUGCAAGUCGAGCGAUGAAGUUUCUUCGGAAAUGGAUUAGCGGCGAACGGGUGAGGAACACGUGAAGAAUCUGCCCUCCACUUUGGGAUAACACCGGGAAACCGGUGCUAAUACCGAAUAUUGAAACAUAAGUGGCAUCACUGAGUUUUGAAAGAAUGUCGGUGGAGGAUGACUUCGCGGCCUAUCAGCUAGUUGGUGAGGUAAUGGCUCACCAAGGCAACGACGGGUAGCCGGCCUGAGAGGGCGACCGGCCAGACUGGGACUAGGAAACGGCCCAGACUCCUACGGGAGGCAGCAGUGGGGAAUAUUGGGCAAUGGAGGAAACUCUGACCCAGCGACGCCGCGUGCGGGAUGAAGGCCUUCGGGUUGUAAGCCGCUUUCAGUAGGGAAGAAGCGAAAGUGACGGUACCUACAAAAGAAGCACCGGCUAACUAUGUGCCAGCAGCCGCCGUAA